GGAGCUGGAGCUCGAACCAUUUGAAGUUGGGGCAGAUUUUUUUUACAAACUGUUAGAUGAAACUGCAUGGAUGAGCUCGAGGCACCUUGACAUGGCCAUGUUUCUAAUACGCAAAAGACAACUCUCUCAUCCGCAACUAUUUGGAAGGGAGUGGACAACCGCCGAGUUUUGUCUGCAGCAAUUUUUACAGCCGUUUGCAAUGCCAAGUGGGAAACGAGUCACGAGGAAACAAUAUGCUGCAAGGA